rnacentral:tRNA from 1 species
GUGGCUGUAGCUCAGUUGGUUAGAGCGCCGCACUGUGACUGCGGAGGCCGGGGGUUCAAAUCCCCUCAGCCACCCCA